GGUUAAGCGACUAAGCGUACACGGUGGAUGCCCUGGCAGUCAGAGGCGAUGAAGGACGUGCUAAUCUGCGAUAAGCGCCGGUAAGGUGAUAUGAACCGUUAUAACCGGCGAUUUCCGAAUGGGGAAACCCAGUGUGAUUCGUCACACUAUCAUUAACUGAAUCCAUAGGUUAAUGAGGCGAACCGGGGGAACUGAAACAUCUAAGUACCCCGAGGAAAAGAAAUCAACCGAGAUUCCCCCAGUAGCGGCGAGCGAACGGGGAGGAGCCCAGAGCCUGAAUCAGCAUGUGUGUUAGUGGAAGCGUCUGGAAAGGCGCGCGAUACAGGGUGACAGCCCCGUACACAAAAGCGCAUGUGCUGUGAGCUCGAUGAGUAGGGCGGGACACGUGGUAUCCUGUCUGAAUAUGGGGGGACCAUCCUCCAAGGCUAAAUACUCCUGACUGACCGAUAGUGAACCAGUACCGUGAGGGAAAGGCGAAAAGAACCCCGGCGAGGGGAGUGAAAAAGAACCUGAAACCGUGUACGUACAAGCAGUGGGAGCACAGGUUUACCUGUGUGACUGCGUACCUUUUGUAUAAUGGGUCAGCGACUUAUAUUCUGUAGCAAGGUUAACCGUAUAGGGGAGCCGUAGGGAAACCGAGUCUUAACCGGGCGUUAAGUUGCAGGGUAUAGACCCGAAACCCGGUGAUCUAGCCAUGGGCAGGUUGAAGGUUGGGUAACACUAACUGGAGGACCGAACCGACUAAUGUUGAAAAAUUAGCGGAUGACCUGUGGCUGGGGGUGAAAGGCCAAUCAAACCGGGAGAUAGCUGGUUCUCCCCGAAAGCUAUUUAGGUAGCGCCUCGUGAAUUCAUCUCCGGGGGUAGAGCACUGUUUCGGCUAGGGGGCCAUCCCGGCUUACCAACCCGAUGCAAACUGCGAAUACCGGAGAAUGUUAUCACGGGAGACACACGGCGGGUGCUAACGUCCGUCGUGAAGAGGGAAACAACCCAGACCGCCAGCUAAGGUCCCAAAGUCAUGGUUAAGUGGGAAACGAUGUGGGAAGGCCCAGACAGCCAGGAUGUUGGCUUAGAAGCAGCCAUCAUUUAAAGAAAGCGUAAUAGCUCACUGGUCGAGUCGGCCUGCGCGGAAGAUGUAACGGGGCUAAACCAUGCACCGAAGCUGCGGCAGCGAACGUAUCACCCAAGACAACUUUACGGAGUUGACGAUUGACGGAGCGAAGCGACGUCAAAGCGUUCAUUAAAGUCGAGUUGGCUUAGGGAUACGUUCGUUGGGUAGGGGAGCGUUCUGUAAGCCUGUGAAGGUGUGUCGUGAGGCAUGCUGGAGGUAUCAGAAGUGCGAAUGCUGACAUAAGUAACGAUAAAGCGGGUGAAAAGCCCGCUCGCCGGAAGACCAAGGGUUCCUGUCCAACGUUAAUCGGGGCAGGGUGAGUCGACCCCUAAGGCGAGGCCGAAAGGCGUAGUCGAUGGGAAACGGGUUAAUAUUCCCGUACUUGGUGUUACUGCGAAGGGGGGACGGAGAAGGCUAUGUUGGCCGGGCGACGGUUGUCCCGGUUUAAGCGUGUAGGUGUGUGUUCCAGGUAAAUCCGGUUCACUUUAACACUGAGGCGUGACGACGAGGCACUACGGUGCUGAAGCAACAAAUGCCCUGCUUCCAGGAAAAGCCUCUAAGCAUCAGGUAACACGAAAUCGUACCCCAAACCGACACAGGUGGUCAGGUAGAGAAUACCAAGGCGCUUGAGAGAACUCGGGUGAAGGAACUAGGCAAAAUGGUGCCGUAACUUCGGGAGAAGGCACGCUGACACGUAGGUGAAGUGAUUUACUCAUGGAGCUGAAGUCAGUCGAAGAUACCAGCUGGCUGCAACUGUUUAUUAAAAACACAGCACUGUGCAAACACGAAAGUGGACGUAUACGGUGUGACGCCUGCCCGGUGCCGGAAGGUUAAUUGAUGGGGUCAGCGCAAGCGAAGCUCCUGAUCGAAGCCCCGGUAAACGGCGGCCGUAACUAUAACGGUCCUAAGGUAGCGAAAUUCCUUGUCGGGUAAGUUCCGACCUGCACGAAUGGCGUAAUGAUGGCCAGGCUGUCUCCACCCGAGACUCAGUGAAAUUGAACUCGCUGUGAAGAUGCAGUGUACCCGCGGCAAGACGGAAAGACCCCGUGAACCUUUACUAUAGCUUGACACUGAACAUUGAGCCUUGAUGUGUAGGAUAGGUGGGAGGCUUUGAAGUGUGGACGCCAGUCUGCAUGGAGCCGACCUUGAAAUACCACCCUUUAAUGUUUGAUGUUCUAACGUGGACCCGUAAUCCGGGUUGCGGACAGUGUCUGGUGGGUAGUUUGACUGGGGCGGUCUCCUCCUAAAGAGUAACGGAGGAGCACGAAGGUUGGCUAAUCCUGGUCGGACAUCAGGAGGUUAGUGCAAUGGCAUAAGCCAGCUUGACUGCGAGCGUGACGGCGCGAGCAGGUGCGAAAGCAGGUCAUAGUGAUCCGGUGGUUCUGAAUGGAAGGGCCAUCGCUCAACGGAUAAAAGGUACUCCGGGGAUAACAGGCUGAUACCGCCCAAGAGUUCAUAUCGACGGCGGUGUUUGGCACCUCGAUGUCGGCUCAUCACAUCCUGGGGCUGAAGUAGGUCCCAAGGGUAUGGCUGUUCGCCAUUUAAAGUGGUACGCGAGCUGGGUUUAGAACGUCGUGAGACAGUUCGGUCCCUAUCUGCCGUGGGCGCUGGAGAACUGAGGGGGGCUGCUCCUAGUACGAGAGGACCGGAGUGGACGCAUCACUGGUGUUCGGGUUGUCAUGCCAAUGGCACUGCCCGGUAGCUAAAUGCGGAAGAGAUAAGUGCUGAAAGCAUCUAAGCACGAAACUUGCCCCGAGAUGAGUUCUCCCUGAGACUUAGAGUCUCCUGAAGGAACGUUGAAGACGACGACGUUGAUAGGCCGGGUGUGUAAGCGCAGCGAUGCGUUGAGCUAACCGGUACUAAUGAACCGUGAGGCUUAACCUU
rnacentral:rRNA from 3 species